UGUUGUAAUAAAAAGUCAUCAGAUUUCCAUGCAUUUUUAGAACAAGUUGGGCGUUUUCAAGGAAAACAAUAUUGGAUUGAAGAAACGAAAAUUUAAGAAAAUACUAACUGCCGUUUAGACUGGCAUCAGAGUGGACCUUGGGUUGUAAUAUCAAUCUUUGCCAAGAAAUAUGACCCAAACAAUUAUUUUGUGAAAUUGUCUCCAGUAAAACUGUCUGUGAAACUAUACUUCCCUUUUAACAAUUCUUUUGUGUUUUCUAAAAACAUGGAACUUUAUGGGAUUGUCGACGUUAAUGCAUGUUGUGUGUCCUUGUUGCCUAUAAAAGUUGAAAUAAAACUUAAAAAAGCAGAAGCAGUGUCAUGGGGUGUAUUGGAAUAUCGAAAGCGUAAAAUUACAAACGGUACGAAACAAACUUUUAAUUCAGGAACAAAUGACGAACAUAAAAAAUUCAAAUGUCUUUGUUGAAAGAGUUGACUUUGGUCUAUUUAAAUAUAUAGUAGUUUAAGUAUUGAAUAUUUCCCAAUUUCAACUAAAUCAUAGGUAUACAACAUAUUCAUCAGUAAACUAUUUAGCUGAAAAUAUUUAAACGAGA